CCUGAUUGGUCUGUCGCAUAGCAGCAGCCUCGUAUCUCUUGGAGAUAUUAGCAGUGUGGCGAAACCUUCUCUUCGGAUUCUUCACAACUCCACACAACUUCCUCCAUUUCUGCAGAGCCUCCUCAGGAGAGUGCUUCGCUUUCACAUCAAAAUUCUCGCUCAAAUAACUUUCCAUUUCCCUCUUCUCGUAUCACAAUAACAACGAACUCCUCCGACGUAUAAAUAACAAGUGACCCAGGCGACAAGGUAGAAAUUUCCUUAGUUAUAUUAAAGAUAAAAAAGAAGCCUCAACCAGACGAAGUUUCUAAGGUCCCUUCCCAGAGAAGCAAGGUGAGGUAGGGUAGGCAGCCGACCAGACAAAAGACUAAAGAAAGGAUAUAUUUAAUCGCUUUGGAGUGUCUGCAACGUAUUGGCUUUAGUCUCUCCUUGGAUUCGAGCGAUGAGCAACAACAUACCCAUUUUGAGGAAGGAGAAAUGGCAAGAGCGCGAGCAUUGCCGGGAGAUUUGAACGGACUCUUCAAGCCUGGUUUCGUGGAACUGCAUUGGCAGAGUCAAAGCUCUGAUGCAUCUGAAAUUUUAUUUAUGGUAUUAAUGGAGCACUGUUCUUUAUUCACC
rnacentral:misc_RNA from 1 species